rnacentral:tRNA from 1 species
AGAUAAGAAGUAAAUUAUUACAUUUAGUUUCGACCUAAAAUUUUGAGAUCAUCUCCUUAUCUU